rnacentral:lncRNA from 1 species
GUGGCCAGGGAGCCGCAGGCAAGGGACUAAGGGGAGGGGGGCUCAGUGCCAGCUGCUUAAAAAUGCCCCUGUGGCAGCGAGGGGCACCAGAGGCUGGGUCUAAUUAGUUGAGAAGCAGUGACACCCCCAACCACUCCCCAAACAGGCUGGCUCCCGUCUCCAGGCCCCAAGGAGCCACACCUGGACCAGACCCCAGGAAAGCCAAAGAUGGAGACUAUGGUACACUCUUCACAGCCAAGGGCAGGGGACAGAGGAGAGGCGGUGCCCAGGCAGGAUGCAACUAUCUCCAAGAGAUAGUUAGAGGAUGGCAGCCUAUCUUGAGUUCUGGCUGCUCUGCCCAGGAGGUCCCUUUGAAUGGCCAGAGAUGGUCUCCAAUGCUGUUGGCCUCCUGCAGAAGAAAGAGCCCAAGGCUGGGAAUGGAAACCCUUGGUUCUAUUCCUGGCUGUGCCCUAACUCUUCAUAUGACCUUCAACGCGACCUUGAACAUGCAGCUUCCUCUGGCCUCAGUGUGUCCAGCGAGAGGCUAGACCCGGCCAGGCCUGGUGGCUCACUCCUAUAAUCCCAGCACUUUGGGAGGCCAAGGCAGGCGGAUCAUGAGGCAAGGGCGCUAGCUGGUGGGAGCCACCCCGCCAUGCUGAUGUCAGAGAAGCAAGAACUCUGGAGAAGCAGCCUCCUGGGACCAGAGGAGGGCCAGCAGCAGGCAGCCCGGAGACAGAACUAAUGUGUCUGGGGGUGAGAGGACGGGUGUGACUGCUGAAACUUCCUUUCUUGGUGAUUCCACAUCACUCCUUUCUGAUCCCUGAGCCUGUGCCACGCCCUGUGUGAUGUGCCGGGGACACCAGGCUCACCCACGCCUCUCCAAGCCUCCCAACAGAAGACAGAGGUCCCCCACAGCCAGAGACAUUUCCUGAAGACAUGGGGAACACAGAGGCAGAAACAGCCCAUCCACCCAGGAGCUGUCCCCCACACUGCCGGGAGCCGGCACCCAGAGCCGCCAGGUAAAACUGAGGCCACCUGGUUCAACAUCACCUUUCACAGAAGGGGAAGCAGCCACAGAAAGAAGGGCCUCGUUAAGAAGUGGAACCUGGGACCCCCAAGCGGUGUCUCUCAUCCUGACUGGGGAUCCAGAGUAGGAGGGAGCCUUUGGUGGGGUAAGUGGAAUGGGGCGGGGUGGGGGGUGGCCAUAGACCCCUCUUCUCAGUAAGGCCCUCAUGUGAAGGAGGCAGGGGUUGGGACAAGUGCUAAGUAUGCAAGACUCAAGGGAAGAGCUGCUGGAGCCAGGAGAAGCACCUCCCUCCCGGCCCCUCUGCCCCUCCUCAUAGCCCAGCUGCACUGACUCCUCCUCCAGGAAGCCUUCUCAGCUUCCCCAGGGGUGGGAACCUUUUUGUCCUCCAGGUGUGCUUGGCUGUCCUUUCUUGGGCUCUCUCUCUCUCUCUCUCCUCAUCCCACUUGAGUCUGCCCCCUAUUCACCUUGUGAGGGGAAUUUUCCUUCUACUCAAUCUGACCGAGGUCCUCCAGGUCAAGGACAGCGAGGCUCUCAGUCCCACUUCCCCUUGGCACAUAGAAGAGGCAGUGCGCUGAAGGGACAGGUGAAAUGAUUAGACCCUGCCCCCAAACCAAGGCCUGGCCAAUUGGACAGGGCAUGAGACAUUCAGCGUAGAGGUUAAAACGAGGGCCCUGGGUUAGGAACCCCAGCUCAGUUCUCAGCUCUGUACCCUUGGAAAAUUCCCUUCCCAUGGAGCUUUGUGGAUGCACAAGGACUUGCACAAAGAAAACAUUCAAUAUCCAGGACUAUAAAAUUCCACAAAUGAUUGUGCUUAUUACAUUCAUUAUCACGAUGAUUAUUCCAGACACAAAGGAACAGAACGAGGCACCAACAGCAAGGGGCAAGCAGAUUCAAGGGCCACAGAGGAGAUGGAGGCAAACACCUUCCCCUGGUCAGAGGCUGUGCCUCAGCCCUUCUCCCUGCAUCAGUUUCUCCUUCAGAAGCAUGGGACUACCUCCCAUCUAGUUCUCGUUUCUAAACCUAGGGGAGAUGCUAUCUUUGCUGCAAUAAUCUUAGCCUACAUCUUGGAAUGGAAAUGGCCUUGGUGGAAAUGGUCUUCAACUCCUCUGGUCCAAGCUCAGGCCCUGUGACCCUGGAACAAUCCCCUUCCUGGUCCUCCAUGUAGGAGCAAUAACAUUCCCUUGCCAGCAGCACCAGCCAUUCUGAUGAUUAAAUGGUAUCGGACUCUGUUUUCCAAACUCAGUCAUUCAGAUGCCCCCUAUUUUAUUUCUUCCAUGUCUGCAAAUGAUUAUAAUAUUUUUAAAUGUAGGAUGAGUCCUUUUUAUUACACAUAGAAAUAGCUACUGUAAAUAGCAAACUCUAACACUGUGCCUAAUUAGGAAAUAAAGGUAACCAUAAAUACAGUAAAAAUGAAACAAUGUUAUUAUGGUUUAACCUGAUAGUGUGGCUUGCAAGGCCCUGGGCCUGAAGCCUGGGCAAUAAGUGAGAGUUAGAAAGGUGUCAAAGACAUGAUAGCAGCAAACUGAGGCUUUGUACCCCACGGUAAAUAGGACUGAAAGCAAAUUCACAGGGAGCAACUGAUCCAUUCCACAACAGAAUGCUCCCUGUCAAUUCGCUUUCCAUUCUGUUGUGUCCUGUCUCCCAGCAGAGACUACAAACUCCCCAAAACCACUUACCCACCAGCUGCACGUGAGAAGCCAAAGGUAGUUUAUGUGAAAGGGCUUUGGAAAUAAUCACGCACCAAGUGAAGGCAGAGGACACACCUUGUCAGCUUAGUUCUCAGCAGCAAAUCAUCUCUUUUCCAGGAUAACCCUCCCUGAUUCUUAUUGAAAUCUCUUUGCUGACCACACUAAGCUCUUCUCUCUCAGGGGCAGUGGGAGCCGUGGAGAGUGGAAUAGACCAGCUGUCUGUGACCUGCGAGGGAGUCCAAUGUCGGAAUCACUCCCCAGCCAAAUGCACGGUUUUAAAAAAUCUAUUUAUUUAUUUAUGUAGAGACCAGGCUAUGAGACUGGCUAAUUUUUCGUAUUUUUGGAUAGAGACAGGAUUUCAUCGUGUUGCCCAGGCUGGUCUUGAACUCCUGGGCUCAAGCGAUCCACCUGCCUCGGCUUCCCAAAGUGCUCAGGAUUACAGGCGUGAGCCACU